UUUCCGUAGGUGAACCUGCGGAAGGAUCAUUGUCGAUACCUGAAUAGGCAGACCGCGAACUCGUUUCAACCCAAUGGGAUGCGCCGCGUGGGGCAACUCCGCGGCGGGCCCCCCUCCCGCAUGGGCUGCGGUCUAACGAACCCCGGCGCGGCAUGCGCCAAGGAAUACCAAUAGGAGCGUCCGCCCCCAUCGCCCCGUGCGCGGCCAGCGAGGGGGAUGUGCCUCAAUGUCUAAACGACUCUCGGCAACGGAUAUCUCGGCUCUCGCAUCGAUGAAGAACGUAGCGAAAUGCGAUACUUGGUGUGAAUUGCAGAAUCCCGUGAACCAUCGAGUCUUUGAACGCAAGUUGCGCCCGAAGCCUUUUGGCUGAGGGCACGCCUGCCUGGGCGUCACGCAUCGCGUCGCCCCACCCACCCCUCCGGAUAUUGGCCUCCCGUGGGCGCAAGCCUGCGGCCGGCUGAAAUGAAUUCACGUGGCGACCGCCGUCACCACAAGCUUUGGUUGAGCAUUGCACUCUCUCGCUGUCGUGUUUGGUGCGCCGCGUCUUGUAAGACCCAACUGCGCGAUUGCUCGUGUCUUCGUACGCGACCCCAGGUCAGGCGGGACCACCCGCUGAGUUUAA
rnacentral:rRNA from 1 species